rnacentral:rRNA from 1 species
GACGAACGCUGGCGGCGUGCUUAACACAUGCAAGUCGAACGGAAAGGCCCUGCUUUUGUGGGGUGCUCGAGUGGCGAACGGGUGAGAAACACGUGAGUAACCUGCCCUUGACUUUGGGAUAACUUCAGGAAACUGGGGCUAAUACCGGAUAGGAGCUCCUGCUGCAUGGUGGGGGUUGGAAAGUUUCGGCGGUUGGGGAUGGACUCGCGGCUUAUCAGCUUGUUGGUGGGGUAGUGGCUUACCAAGGCUUUGACGGGUAGCCGGCCUGAGGGGGUGACCGGCCACAUUGGGACUGAGAUACGGCCCAGACUCCUACGGGAGGCAGCAGUGGGGAAUAUUGCACAAUGGGCGGAAGCCUGAUGCAGCAACGCCGCGUGCGGGAUGACGGCCUUCGGGUUGUAAACCGCUUUCGCCUGUGACGAAGCGUGAGUGACGGUAAUGGGUAAAGAAGCACCGGCUAACUACGUG